rnacentral:rRNA from 1 species
UACGUAGGGGGGCAAGCGUUUGUCCGGAUUUAUUGGGCGUAAAGAGCUCGUAGGUGGUUCGGUAAGUCGGAUGUGAAAUCUCCAGGCUCAACCUGGAGGGGUCAUUCGAUACUGCCGUGACUAGAGGUCGGUGAGGGGAGUGUGGAAUUCCUGGUGGAGCGGUGAAAUGCGCAGAUAUCAGGAGGAACACCCGUAGCGAAGGCGGCACUCUGGGGCCGAUACUGACACUGAGGAGCGAAAGCGUGGGGAGCGAACAGGG